AUGGCUCAGAACGAACGCUGGCGGCAUGGAUUAGGCAUGCAAGUCGGACGAAGCAGCAAUGCUUAGUGGCGCAAGGGUGAGGAACACGUGAGUGACCUACCCGCAAGUUUGGAACAGCUCCUGGAAACGGGAAUUAAUACCGGAUGUGAUCAUAUUGCUGCAUGGUGAUAUGAUUAAAGCAGUAAUGCGCUUGCGGAUGGGCUCGCGUCCCAUUAGUUAGUUGGUGAGGUAACGGCCCACCAAGGCCAUGAUGGGUAGCUGGUCUGAGAGGACGACCAGCCACACUGGGACUGAGAACUGCCCAGACUCCUACGGGAGGCUGCAGUCGAGAAUUUUGGGCAAUGGACGAAAGUCUGACCCAAGCAAUGCCGCGUGCGGGAUGAAUGUCUUCGGAUUGUAAACCGCUGUUUGGAGGGACGAAAAUUGACGGUACUUCCAGAGAAAGCCACGGCUAACUACGUGCCAGCAGCAGC
rnacentral:rRNA from 1 species